rnacentral:rRNA from 1 species
GAUGAACGCUAGCUACAGGCUUAACACAUGCAAGUCGAGGGGCAGCACUAGGUAGCAAUAUUGAGGUGGCGACCGGCGCACGGGUGCGUAACGCGUAUCCAACCUUCCCGUUACUCUUGGAUAGCCUUCCGAAAGGGAGAUUAAUACAAGAUGGUAUUCAAAUUCCGCAUGUUAUUUGAAUUAAAGAUUAAUCGGUAACGGAUGGGGAUGCGUGACAUUAGAUAGUAGGCGGGGUAACGGCCCACCUAGUCUACGAUGUCUAGGGGUUCUGAGAGGAAGGUCCCCCACACUGGAACUGAGACACGGUCCAGACUCCUACGGGAGGCAGCAGUGAGGAAUAUUGGUCAAUGGUCGGAAGACUGAACCAGCCAAGUAGCGUGAAGGAUGAAGGUUCUAUGGAUUGUAAACUUCUUUUAUACGGGAAUAAAACCUCCCACGUGUGGGAACUUGUAUGUACCGUAUGAAUAAGCAUCGGCUAACUCCGUG